AUUUAUAAAAUCUUCUGGAAAGUAUAAUCACAUUAUUUUCAUCAAUGAAUGCCAAACUUAAACAAAGCAGGAAUCACAGGGCAAAGUACACACCACUACGAUGAAAUGGUGUGUUUCCUGAAGCCCUGGAAGGCAAGUAAGAACUAUGGAAACAAUCUCCAGCCCCCAUCAAUCCCAUCUUCUGUGAUCCUGUACUUGGCUGCAGUGAUCACUACACUGGGGCCAGAACACCCAUAGGCAGCACACACUGAUGAUCCUGAGCCUCUUAAAAAGAUUCACGUAACAGCUCAGCAAGGUAGUUACUUCAUCUGGGACCAGACCUGGGAACAGCACUGCCAUAGCAACCUGACCAAGAUGAGGUUAAAGACUGGCCAAGUGAAGCCAUGAUUCAGGGACUAUUGAGUCAAAUCAAGAAGCCA